AUUGAACGCUGGCGGCAUGCUUUACACAUGCAAGUCGAACGGCAGCGCGGGCUUCGGCCUGGCGGCGAGUGGCGAACGGGUGAGUAAUGCAUCGGAACGUGCCCAGUAGUGGGGGAUAGCCCGGCGAAAGCCGGAUUAAUACCGCAUACGACCUGAUGGUGAAAGCGGGGGACCGAAAGGCCUCGCGCUAUUGGAGCGGCCGAUGUCGGAUUAGCUAGUUGGUGAGGUAAAGGCUUACCAAGGCGACGAUCCGUAGCUGGUCUGAGAGGACGACCAGCCACACUGGAACUGAGACACGGCCCAGACUCCUACGGGAGGCAGCAGUGGGGAAUUUUGGACAAUGGGGGAAACCCUGAUCCAGCCAUGCCGCGUGCGGGAAGAAGGCCUUCGGGUUGUAAACCGCUUUUGUUCGGGAAGAAAUCCUCUGGGCUAAUACCCCGGGGGGAUGACGGUACCGGAAGAAUAAGCACCGGCUAACUACGUA
rnacentral:rRNA from 1 species